GUGGCUAAUACCGGAUAUGCCGAGAGGUGAAAGGCUUGCUGCCUGAAGAUGAGCUCGCGUCUGAUUAGCUAGUAGGUGUGGUAAAAGCGCACCUAGGCGACGAUCAGUAGCUGGUCUGAGAGGAUGAUCAGCCACACUGGGACUGAGACACGGCCCAGACUCCUACGGGAGGCAGCAGUGGGGAAUUUUCCGCAAUGGGCGAAAGCCUGACGGAGCAAUACCGCGUGAGGGAGGAAGGCUCUUGGGUUGUAAACCUCUUUUCUCAGGGAAGAAAAAAAUGACGGUACCUGAGGAAUAAGCAUCGGCUAACUCCGUGCCAGCAGCCGCGGUAAUACGGAGGAUGCAAGCGUUAUCCGGAAUGAUUGGGCGUAAAGGGUCCGCAGGUGGCUAUGUAAGUCUGCUGUUAAAGAACCUAGCUUAACUAGGUAAAAGCAGUGGAAACUACAAGGCUAGAGUGCGUUCGGGGUAGAGGGAAUUCCUGGUG
rnacentral:rRNA from 1 species